UUCGUUGCGCUGUGCUUUCGUUUGUCUAUAUGCGUCUAUGUAACUACAUGCUCGCCUAUAUUGGGAUGUGUAUGCAUGUGAAGUUUUCAAAUGUUCAUUGGCCUCGCAGAUAAGCAGCACGUCAAUUUUGUUUUGCCGCUACGAAAAUCUCAAAGAUGAAGACGAUAACAAUUGCUCGUGUCUUGGAUGUUUGCAGUUAAAUGGCGACUGCAUAAGGACUGCGUUGGCUAUGCUGAUAGUUUGCAAGCCUAACAUAUUGUGGUGUUCGAGUUUGAUUCCCGAUCGAGAAUACGUGUACAUAUUUUAGCGCUAGCUGCUUGUCUGCAAGGCAACUGCACGUUGCAAAACUUCAAAUGCAUUCCAUAUGGACCCACCAAUCAAAUAAAUAUAGGCGAGCAUGUAGUUACAUAGACGCAUACGCUCGUGCCCAUCGUUACGAAUUCGAUCCGUGAAUGAACUGAGUGUGUGACGUACUCUGCGCACUGGAUUCUAAUCGCAGCGCUCGACUCUUUCAAGAGUUAAAGCUCUACAUAUGUAUUACAUGUCUCUGAGAUUUAGGUGUUCUUACGGACAGAAAGACAUGGCUCUGUCGUCUCGGCUGUUGAUGCUGAUCUAUAGUUAAUCGGGUCGGAGAUGCCCACUUCUGACUGUUACAUACAUUUUCUGCCGACACAAAGUUAUAAAAUCAAAGGAGCUUAUAUAAAAAAAAAUUUUGAUUAUUCGACAAAAUUAACAAAUUUUUUCACUCCAUUGUUGCUAGUCGGAAUGAGCGGACAUUAACUUGAACGUAAAAACAUACUAAGAAAGAACAAGUAAAAACAUUACUACUUUGUGUUAAAGAUAUCAAAAAUACACCCCAAGAAGGACGUUUGUAGCCCGUUGUCUGGAGCUUACAUAGUUCCUAAAAGGUAGGUGACGGAUGAAUAGACUGACAUCGCAAUAAACCCCUCAAGGUUAUUUUAAAAAGUGAACAAGUAUAUAAUGGAUCUUAAUAUGAAUAAGAGUUCGUGGUCAAAUCGAUUGCUACCACAAAAGGAAUUAAUUCACAUAAAAAUUGUAAUUGUAAUUAAAUUGUACCAGUUAUGUGGAGACAUAAUAAUAUCAUACAAAUACACUUGUGAAAUAAAACAGAUAAUG